rnacentral:rRNA from 1 species
AGUGAACGCUGGCGGUAGGCCUAACACAUGCAAGUCGAACGGCAGCACAGUAAGAGCUUGCUCUUACGGGUGGCGAGUGGCGGACGGGUGAGGAAUACAUCGGAAUCUACUUUUUCGUGGGGGAUAACGUAGGGAAACUUACGCUAAUACCGCAUACGACCUACGGGUGAAAGCAGGGGAUCUUCGGACCUUGCGCGAUUGAAUGAGCCGAUGUCGGAUUAGCUAGUUGGCGGGGUAAAGGCCCACCAAGGCGACGAUCCGUAGCUGGUCUGCGAGGAUGAUCAGCCACACUGGAACUGAGACACGGUCCAGACUCCUACGGGAGGCAGCAGUGGGGAAUAUUGGACAAUGGGCGCAAGCCUGAUCCGGCCAUACCGCGUGGGUGAAGAAGGCCUUCGGGUUGUAAAGCCCUUUUGUUGGGAAAGAAAAGCAGCAGGUUAAUACCCCGCUGUUCUGACGGUACCCAAAGAAUAAGCACCGGCUAACUUCGUG